AAGAAACCGUUGAGAAAGAGUAGUAAGCAGGAUCAGAAUGAUUCAAAGAGAGCUGCAGGUGGUGAGAUUGCAGUAUGAUUUCCCUGGUGAAUGGACUUUCGAGGGUGAUUUUGAAAGUAACAAGUAGGAAUCGCCGGGCACCCGACCCGUUACCAGAGUGGGCAUGUAUGAUAGUAUAUGAUUUAAGUGGACACACCUAGUGUCAAUUUGAGUGGUACCGCGGAUAAUUCGCCUCAAGC
rnacentral:ncRNA from 1 species